rnacentral:rRNA from 1 species
GACGAACGCUGGCGGCGUGCUUAACACAUGCAAGUCGAACGGAAAGGCCCUGCUUUUGUGGGGUGCUCGAGUGGCGAACGGGUGAGUAACACGUGAGUAACCUGCCCUUGACUUUGGGAUAACUUCAGGAAACUGGGGCUAAUACCGGAUAGGAGCUCCUGCUGCAUGGUGGGGGUUGGAAAGUUUCGGCGGUUGGGGAUGGACUCGCGGCUUACGAGCUUGUUGGUGGGGUAGUGGCUUACCAAGGCUUUGACGGGUAGCCGGCCUGAGAGGGUGACCGGCGACAUUGGGACUGAGAGACGGCCCAGACUCCUACGGGAGGCAGAAGUGGGGAAUAUUGCACAAUGGGCGGAAGCCUGAUGAAGCAACGCCGCGUGCGGGAUGACGGCCUUCGGGUGAUAAACCGCUUUCGCCUGUGACGAAGCGUGAGUGACGGUAAUAGGUAAAGAAGCACCGGCUAACUACGUG